ACAUUCUGUGAACAAAUCAAAAUAAAAGUUACACUUCUUUCCUGCUCUCUAUUUCAUUUUUUUUUUCUUUUCCGGGACGUUGGUGUUACUGUCAAGGCUAUCCCUCCUUCCUCUUGCAUCGACUGGCUUGCUCAGCCUUUUUAAAGUGCACUUAAAAGUCAGCAACAUUGUUGUCGAGCCUGGAGUCACACAUCGACUCGACCAGAAUGUGGGCAUCAGUGGCAAGAGUGGCAUUUGUCUAUCCUUAAUUGGCUCAGAGAGCAGCGGAGAGUCAACUGUGUUGCUGUAGGUCAGACUAGAACAACUCACCAAUUUUGCAAAACAAGAACCGUUUAAGAACGCAAAUGGUCUUAAAAAUCAAGAAUGAUGAAACAUUCAAGCUGAAUGGUAGACCUCUGCUCCUAUGUCGUAUGGCCUUGCAUCAGUUAAGGAGUCAUGGGUUAUGGUGAAAAGGCUAGAAAGUGGAGAUGCAUUUUCAACUGUAUUAAUCAAAGUGGACUAACACAUCACUUCAGAGAUAGUAGGAACUGCAGAUGCUGGAGAAUCCGAAACAACAAGGUGCAGGGCUGGAUGAACACAGCAGGCCAAGCAGCAUCAUAGGAGCAGAGCAUCACUUCCACUGCCAAUAUAUCAAGGAAUUUUUUUUUAAAGCAGAAACAUUGAAACCAAAAUCCAUUCUAAAAAACUGCCUAAUUGUUCUGUUGUAUCCAAAUAAGUUUGAAAAGAAAUAUGAGAGUGGAAGAAAAAGGUUCUCAAAAUGAAUAUUAAUUUGGCCAUGAUUUGGAUCUGGGUUGCUGAUUGCAUUCAAAAUAGAACCUUUACCCUCAAAGUUUUUGUAAAUGGUUUCUCAGGUUCCUUUAAUUCAUUCAUGAGGUGUGGGCGUCCAUGAGGUUGGACAAGUAUUACCUAUCCCUGAUUGCCCAGAGGGCACUUAAAAGUCAACCACGUUACUGUGGAUCUUGAGUCACAUGUCAGACCAAAUAAAGACAGCAGUCAGCUCCUUUGAUAGACACUACUGAACCAGAUGGGUUUCCGACAAUCAACAAUGGUUUCUUGGUCAUUAGACCCUUAAUUCCAAACACUUUAUUAAAUCUGCCAUGGCAGGGUCUCCAGAGCAUUACCUGGGUCUCUGGGUUAAUAGUCCUGUGAUUAUACCACUAGGCCAUUGUGUGAGAGGUAGAUAAUCACGAUUGUUUUGUUUUAGAACAGUAAUGUGUGAAGAGAAUCUCUGGUAAUUUUGCUUAACUUAUUGCUUCAAUUUCCUCAUUGUGUUGGAACAGAACAUUCAUCUUUCUACUGAUUACUGAAUUAACAAUCAGUCUAUUUAGUUUCUGAAUCCUUUGAACAGCUUCUCAUUCACUGUAUGAGAUUAUAGGUUGUUUCCCAAACUAACAGCUGCCAAAAUGGAGCAAUUGAUGAUGUUUAACUCAUCAAGAGUAUACUUCUGCUUGAUAGUAGUUUACAUGCUGACUUAUCGUCAUGUGAUUAGUAACUGUCUGUGUGUAAAAGGACAUUUGGUUGAUAUUAAUAACACUUUGAACUUUCUGAUUUAAGUUUAAUCUCGUUAUUAAUCUAAAUUAUUUAUGCCAUUGGACCAAAAACAUUAAAGUAAUCAUUUUUUUUAAGGGGGAAGGAAGGACCAAUCUAACAAACUUUAAUAAACUAGCACUUUCCAUGUCAUUAUCUACCCAGAGAUAUAAAUCACACUCAGACUUGUGCUUAACUUUAUCAUAACUCUGUCAGUGCUCUGAAAGUUGAUUUUUUAAAAAAAAACUAUUAUCCAAUAUGUUGUACUGAAAAUACAUGACUAUUAUACUGAUGCAAAUAGAGGCAUUAACUAUCAUUAUAGACAUGUCUCAAGCAUAUUGAUGUACAGUGGUUAAUGUGCAAUAAACUUUC